CAGCCGCCCCGGCUCCCCCGCCGUCCGCGUCUGCGCCGGCCCCGGGGCCUGGUCGGCGGCGGCGGGGCCGGUCGAUGGCCCGGGCGGCGGCGGCGGCAUGCGGCUCCUGUUCCUGGCGGUGCUGCGGCCACACACCGGCAACGCGGUCACGGCCCAGCGCGUUCGGGCCCAUCUAGAGGCUGCAGGGCACGUAUGCGUUUUGAAAGAUGCCUUUGACUUUGAAAGCCCAUCUGAGAUUGCAAACCUCAUCUUGGCUGAGGACUGCGAGGCUGCCCUGGCUCUUCAUCUCUAUAGGGGAGGCAGGCUUUUGCAAGGCCACCGAAUCCCUUUUGGAGUCAUCUUUGGUGGAACUGAUGUAAAUGAAGAUGCCAACCAGGCAGAAAAAAACACAGUCAUGGGCAGAGUUCUUGAGGAAGCCAGAUUUGCUGUCGCUUUCACAGAGUCAAUGAAGGAAAUGGCACAAGCGCAGUGGAAAGCAAGACAGAUCUCAUUGGCUGUCACAAGUGCAGUUCCUGUACAGCCGCAUGCUAAGGGUAAGAUCUAUGUCCAGAGUCAAGGAAUUGCAACAACACCAAACGCCGCUUUUAACUGGAAUACCUUUCUUCAACGCUCUGAGAUUAACCAAAGUGCUGAUAAUUUGCACAUAUUUCUUCUGAUAUGUGGACUUCGACAAGUUAAGGAUCCUCUCUAUCUGGUGGACGCAUUUUCAGCCUGGCAUCAGGAGGAGCCCAAUGUGUACCUGGUGAUUGUGGGUCCUGAAGUCGAUCCAGUGUUUACAAGGGAAGUGAAAGCCAAAGUGAAAAGAGCCGCUGGGGUACGACUGAUUGGAGAGAUGCCUCAAGAAGAUCUGCACGCAGUGGUGAAGAAUUGCUUCGCGGUGGUGAAUAGCUCUGUCUCUGAAGGCAUGUCAGCUGCAAUUUUGGAGGCAAUGGAUUUAGAAGUACCGGUAUUGGCCAGGAACAUCCCCGGGAAUGCUGCCGUGGUGAAGCAUGAAGUCACAGGGCUACUGUUUUCCAAUCCUCAGAAUUUAGACCUCUCUUGGAAAAGAAAAGAAAUGCGGCAACCAGCAUAGGCCUGUAUUUACCUUGUGGCUGUGUGCACCUCCCACUUCACCUGCUGGGCCCCGGAAGGCGUUUGCGUUUCCCACCGCUGAUCAGGAACAGGAGUUUGUUCAUCUGGCAAAGAGACUGGUUAGUGAUCCUGCAUUAGAAAAGGAAAUCGUAGUGAACGGAAGGGAAUACGUGAGAAUGUAUCAUUCAUGGCAGGUGGAAAGAGACACCUACCAACAGCUCAUCAGGAAGCUGGAAGGAAGCACUGAAGAUUGAGGGCCCCGCCUCAUCAGACACCUGCUCUCUGACACAGGGCUCUGGGUGGACACUCAGAGACAGAGUUCUGGGUCACGUGGGUCCAGUGCAGUUCAAACAAAACCAGCCUCAGCGGAAUCCUAGAAAAUGUUAGUCGUGAGUCCCCAGAGCCACUGCAUUCAUCCCAUAUCCUUCUGUGCGUUCAGAUGCUGUCCCAGGCGUGUUCACCAGCCAGUCCUGAUGGAGGUGCAUGAGUGACUGGGUUGACUGGGACAGGGAAAGGGGAACUGGUUUUCAGGGAAUGUGGGAGAGCAUUUGAUUACCUGCCUUAGGGCUUUGGUGUGGACAAUAGAGGCUUAUUUUCAAGCAGUCAUGGUUCAGACUCCCCCCGCCUGCCUUCUGACCAACCUCUCCCCAUCAUUGCCAGUUUGAAAGGCAAAAGCAAAACAGACGUGUCAGCUGAGCCGAGUCCUAGCAGGAUUUUUGUUGUGAUCUGAGGACUCUGACAGGCACGUGGGUGACCCGAGGCUUCUCUGAACACUAGAAAGCGCUGUGAGUGAGCUCACGCCCGGCACAUCUCACUUUUCAAUGGUGGAAUUGAAAGUUGUGCUUUUUAGAGAAGUGGCCAGGCUGCUCGUAGGCCCCGCCCACCUCUUGGCUGAAUUUGAGUGGAAAACCAGGAAGGAACAAGCGCCACGUCACGCAUAGCCUGCAAAACGCCCGCGUGACCCUGAGAUGGAGGCCUGGGGCUUUGGGUCCAGGGUGGGCUCUUCCCCUUCCCACAUCAGGGACCCGGGGAUGGAUGUCGGAAGGGUCACCAGCCUCCAGCCCUUGGCAGGAUGGAGCUCAGGUCUGCAGGGCUUUGCAGCCACACAGCGAGGUCAGUCCGGGGCCAGCCGCGCCAUCAUGGUAAUCGUGGCCUCGCCCCAUCCAUGUCAUCCAUGGCACAUGAGGACGUGCAGUCUUCCUUGUCCUCUGCUAGUGGAAUUUGCCUGAACCUCCACUGAAUACUGAAAUUGUUGCAUGCCCGUGGAUUCCUUACGACAAUGGGGAACGCGGUGUUUCCCACCUCUUGUGGGUAGAAAGCAGUCUGCUUCGAGGAGGCGAGAAGGCAAAGCCAGGGCAGGGCGUUGCUGUGGGAAGCGUUCGGUGAAAGCGGGUUUCGACGCUUAGGAGGGCCGAGGGAGAAGAUGCCACCGGCACUGUCCUUGCUUCAAGUUUUAGGAUGUGUGAACUUUCUGCUUUCAUGUUUUCAACCAUCAUUUUUUUAAUGGCACAACCUACAUCUUGUUUUUAAAAGAAGUAGCCUCAAAUUAAACUCCUUAAACUCUGAUGCCCUGGGGAUGAGAACAACUAGCUUGGAUCUCGUGCCGUGUAAUUCAAUGUUUCAUUCCGCUGCCUCCAUCAUGUAAUAGAAUCGCUUUCCAGAAAGGCAGUUAACUGGAAACAGCCGAGGCUCCCAGCCCUGAGAGGACUGCUCAACAAUGCCCCCCAUCGCCGCCCCCCCCAACCCCCCGCACCCCUUGUGUUUUCCCUCUGAGGGGCCCAAGGGUUAUGGCUUUCAUGUCUAGGUGUGGGGACAGAGGAGGGAGAGGCAGAUCCUGGGCCCGGAGAGGACGGCCUGGUCUGAAUCUGGAGUAAUUAAUGCCACCCAAAGAAAAGGCCCUGCCAGGUCCAGUGUUGUCUUAGAUCUGAUGAUGCUGCUAUUUACAAAACACUGAUCGUCCGAAAGCUUGAAUCUGUUCCUCCUCGAAUGACCCUGUAGAUGCCUGACCUCCACCGUACCUCCACAUCACUAUUUAUGUCUUUGUAGGAAAAUGUGCACAUGCCUCAUGCACUAUGGGGGAAGGGCGUGUUUUUAAAUUAAUAAAGUGUGUCACCAUUAGCCAUACGAAAA